CUCGGAAUGGGGGAACCCUGACCGAGCGACGUCGCGUGGGUGAUGAAGAUCUUCGGAUCGUAAAACCCUGUCAGGUGGGAUGAAAUGUCACAUGGUAAAUAGCCACGUGGCUUGACAGUACCACCGGAGGAAGCACCGGCUAACUCCGUGCCAGCAGCCGCGGUAAUACGGAGGGUGCAAGCGUUGUUCGGAAUUAUUGGGCGUAAAGCGCGUGUAGGUGGUCGGGUAAGUCAGAUGUGAAAGCCUCCUGCUUAACAGGAGAAGUGCAUUUGAAACUGCUCGGCUAGAGUACGGGAGAGGAGAGUGGAAUUCCCGGUGUAGAGGUGAAAUUCGUAGAUAUCGGGAGGAACACCAGUGGCGAAGGCGGCUCUCUGGUCCGAUACUGACGCUGAGACGCGAAAGCGUGGGGAGCAAACAGGAUUAGAUACCCUGGUAGUCCACGCCGUAAACGAUGGGCACUAGGUGUAGGAGGUAUUGACCCCUUCUGUGCCGAAGCUAACGCAUUAAGUGCCCCGCCUGGGGAGUACGGCCGCAAGGCUAAAACUCAAAGAAAUUGACGGA
rnacentral:rRNA from 1 species